rnacentral:rRNA from 1 species
UGAGGAAUAUUGGUCAAUGGGGGCAACCCUGAACCAGCCAAGUCGCGUGAAGGAUGAAGGUCUUAUGGAUUGUAAACUUCUUUUAUACAGGAAUAAAUUGGGGGACGUGUCCCCUUUUGCAUGUACUGUAUGAAUAAGGAUCGGCUAACUCCGUGCCAGCAGCCGCGGUAAUACGGUGGAUCCGAGCGUUAUCCGGAUUUAUUGGGUUUAAAGGGUGCGCAGGCGGGAUGUUAAGUCGGCGGUGAAAUUUUGCAGCUCAACUGUAAAAGUGCCUUCGAUACUGGCUUGCUUGAGUGUGGAUGAAGUAGGCGGAAUUUGUGGUGUAGCGGUGAAAUGCUUAGAUAUCACGAGGAACUCCGAUUGCGCAGGCAGCUUACUAAGCCACAACUGACGCUCAUGCACGAAGGCGUGGGGAUCAAACA